UUCUGGCUCAGCAGUAAUCUAAGCAGAGAGACUAGGGUGGAAGAUGCAAAAGGCAAUGGGGAGCAGAGCCAGGAGUAACAGACUAUUGUUACCUGCUGUUGCUUCAUUUUCCUGUACUGCCUCCUUUCUCUUUUUUCAUAUACAAGCCUUCACACAGCGUGUUAAAGAGCCCAAGAGUUCUACAGGAGGUGAGCCUGGCCUCCCCAUCUCUGAUAGGGAUGCAGUAUUGUCUCCAUCAGUGGUCAUCUCACCUAUCAAUUCUGAAGGAAAUCAACCCUGAGUGCUCACUGGAAGGACAGAUCCUGAAGCUGAGGCUCCAAUACUUUGGCCAUCUCAUGAGAAGAGAAAACUCGCUGGAAAAGCCCCUGAUGUUGGGAAAGUGUGAAGGCAAGAGGAGAAGGGGACAACAGAGGAUGAGAUGGUUGGACAGUGUCAUUGAAGCAACCAACAUGAAUUUGACCCAACUCCGGGAGGCAGUGGAAGACCGGAGGGCAUGGCGUGCUCUGGUCCAUGGGGUCACGAAGAGUCGGACAUGACUUAACAACUAAAAAACAACAAAGAUCUCAUCAUGAGUAAUUCAUCCUGUUCUGGGCACUGCACUUUAAGAAGGAUGCCAACAGACAGGAACAAAUUCAUUUUAUUUACUGUUUCAAGCCCCUCCUUGUCCUUUAAAAAAAAAUAAUCAAAGGUGAUAUAUUGAUGAAUUGGUGCCUUCUCUCCCCCUCCCCCCUUUCCUUCCCUCCUUUACUCACUUUUCCUGCAUAUCUCUCCCUCUCAGUUCUUGGCUUUUAUUUUUCUUUUCCCUUUUGAACAGUGUUGAGAGAAGGAAGCAGAUUUUGGAAGACUUGUAAAGCAUUGUGAAAACUAGGGUUUAAAAAUGCAGCAUUCUUUUCUUUACAGUUCAGAGCAGGACAUCUCAAGCCCCCUUUCACCCACAAGGCAGUGGGACUCUGUCUCCUUCUGAGCGAUUUAUUCAUGUUGCUUUUUUUGUGUGGCGCCAGUGGCGCGAGCAGCUGCUAUUAGCAAUUUAGUGGUAUCCCUUAAAAAAAAUUAAAAGGAAUACAAGCUAUGAAGUGGCCACAGGACCCAGAAACGUGACCUCUUUGUGAAGGAAAUAAAUUGACAGGAAUGUUCA
rnacentral:lncRNA from 1 species